ensembl:lncRNA
CUCGGUGUAUCCAGUCAUACACAGACUAAAAAAAAAGCCUUUUCUACAAUGAUUUGCACGUCAACUUUCACCCGUCAGUGCUUUUUGGAAAAUGGGAUUCUUCCCUGUGGAAAAAAAUAAACAGAAAAUACGAGGGUUUGCUGCACGCAGAACACGCCCCAACCUCCCAGGCGGCCCGGGCACCCUUCCCAUCCCUGUGGAGCCGCACCCCGUGCAGGGCAGGGAGACUUGUCCCAUUAAAAUGACUCUUGAAGUAGUGACUCUAAUAAUAAUAAUCUGUGAUUCCUUCCCGUUCUGUUGCAGGGCGUGCAGCAGUGUCCCCCUGCCAGCCUCUGGGCACCCUCAGGUCCCCGCUGUAAGAGGUGAAAUGUUGCCUGGACAGCCCUGAAGUUGGAGGUCCAAGGCAUCCAGCUUCGUUUGUCGCAGAGAAAACACUGCAGGCAAAAAGGAGGAUACCUUUCAGAGCCUCUUUGUGUGCCAUCCUACCCCCUGAGGUCCACGAGGAUGGGGCUUUUGGAGCCUGGAUUCUGCAGGAGCAGGAGGGGUAUGUCUGCAGAAUGGAAGUUGUAGCAUUUCUGCACUCCUGGCAAGGGAGCUCCGUCUGUCUCCGAUCAUGGUUCUCGAUCUCUUGCCCACGUGCAGUACGGGUAACGCCAUUCUCCAGGCGUAUGUACGGACACCAUGGAAGAAAGGGUUUGAGCGAUGGAGACAACGGCUGGAAACUCCACCGACACAACGCGACUACAUGCUUGUGGAGCCAGUUCCUAGUUGCCUCACCGGCAGACGCCCGUAGCAUCUUGCAGCAUUCUCCAGACUGCGAAGACAAGAAGUCAGGUGAAGCCCAGUGAGCUGUUCUCAUGUGCACGCUAACGUGGAUGAACUAGCAAGGUGCUUUCUCUCCUUCUCCUCUUUUCAGACCUAAUUGUCAGAAAUGUGGAGAAAAGGAGAAAAUUAAGGGCUCAACUGUGCUAAUUUUUCUGGUUUUUCAUUACCAGAAUACACACUGCUCAUUUUUCUUCUAUUUUUUUCCAUGUUUUAAAUAUUUUUUUUCAAAUGUAAUCAGAGAACACAUGUGUUUUAAAAGAUUGAUCAUUCUCACAGAGUAACCUUGAAAUGUUCUUUCUGUGAUCUUAAAGAAAAGAAAGAAAGAAAGAAAAAGAAAAAGGUACGGUACGUAGCCCAAGAGAACUAAUUGAAUUCCUUGCCCAGGACACAUUUGCUAUGUAUCCGAGUGGCUUUGCAGUGAUGGGAGCCCCAGGAGAAGCUUCCAUGCUCCAGCAAGGCAAGGUACAGAUGGUGCACUCAGCCCAGUGCUGCCAGUGUCCUUUUUGACUGUGCCGAGCUCGCAUGAGCCGUCCCGGGGAGGUCAGUGGGAUUACUCACCUGCAAGUGCAUAGUUGCUCAACUUAGAAUUUGCAUGUCUCAAAUCCCUUUUGCCUGAAGAAGAAAACAUAUAAUCCACUAAAGAAAGAUGGUUAUGCAGCACUAGUGAAAAUUGUUUUGUUUUUGUUGCUACUUCUGUAUCACGCUCUUGUUUUGUUUCUGUGGCUUCACUCACAUCUGCUCCCAAGAUCUGAUUUUUACGCUGUUAGUUGAGCUAAGCUUCCAUCCAUGUCCACAGCUAUUUUCUCAGAGUAACAACUGGGACAUGAAUUCCUAAAUUUGAGGCAUUCAUCUCCAUAAUGCUUAUGGUAAUGUGUCUCCUAGUCAUCAUCCAAAUGAGUAAAUAGUAUAGCAUUUCUGCAUAUGAAGCACGGGGUGGGAAAAUGUGCUUUCGCAAACUCCUGUGCCUGUAUUUGCACAGCCCAGUAUUACCUUUCUCCUGAAGUAAGGCUGAUGCCACGAACGAGUAGUUCUGUAUGCUAAGCUCCCCCCCUAAAGAGAUGUGGUGUGCCAUUAUUUCACUGUCGUGCCAUUUCCCUUCUCACAGGGUCACCAUAUUUUGCUGACAGGCGACUUCGGUAGGGGAAUUUGACCCAAACCCAAUGGCACAACCUGGCUAAAGGAAUAAAAGGUGAAUGCCAUUACUCAGAAGUAGCCCUAGAGGAGAACUGUUUUGGUCAAUGUCUCGAUUUGUUCAUCCAACUGGAUCCUGCUUCUGGAGGACCUCAGCACCCACCGUACUCAGGUUAUUGGGACCAUAUCAUACGGAACAGGAAGUUAUAAAUCAAAGCUGGGGAGCUGCGGCAGGACUGAGGGGAAGGUUUGGGUGUAUUUAGGUAGCCAGUGGAACGCUCCGUACAGUCUGUCUACCAAGAACUAUGGCUUGCUUGGUAUUCUGGAGGGAAACAGAGAGGAACAACAGCUGACCAAAGCCUUGAUAAGAGGGCCAGGAGGAUGGGCAGCACCGCCUGCUUCUGCCCUAGCCCAGUACAGGCAAAAAGCAGCUUGAGAACAGGGACUUUACACAGGAAGACAUUACAUGGAGGGAAUUAUGUACAGCUUCAUUAUGAAAAACAUGCAAAUCAUUUUAGACAUAUUAUACCUCCUGAUUAAUGUAAUAGGGGAAAAAUGGAAACAAGCUAUUCACUUUUCCAUUAUAAAACAUUCUGACAAAAAAGAAAAAAAGAAAAAGAAGAGAAAAUUUCAGCCAUCUCAGGAGAAAAGCAGGUAGUUAAGUGUACACCAGCAUGUGCAAUGCAGGCGAUGCAACUGGCUACUUUUUAUUGCUGUAUGACUAAGCAAAGACUUUUUUUUUUUUAAUUUGGGCUACUGUGACUCAAGGUUAAGUUUUAAUGUGAAUAUUAAAUGUGGGCCUCGUCCUGCCGGGUUCUGAGCACCUGGCUGAGAAGGCGUUUGCUGAGAGUUAAAGAUGCCCAGUGGAGCUCCCCGCAUCAAAAUAAAUAAUCAAAAAACAACAAACAGCCACAACAACCAAACAGAGCAAAACGAUAGGCAACAAAAUAAACAACCAGAAAAUCUCCAGACAGACAAACAAACAAAAAGCAAAGGCCGAGCCUGUUCGCACGUUAUUAUGCAUAGUAAUAUCUGCCCUGCUGCAUGACUGUAAGCGACACUUCUUAUUGAAUUUCCCUCAUCACAGUUUCUGCAUACUGUGCUUACGCAGGCUGUGUUUCUCUAAGUGCAUUCUUUAGCCCUGGAAACAUAACAUUAACGCAUGAGUCUGAAGCACUCGCCUGGGCUGUGCUUAUCCACAGACUCACCUGUUCAUUUGUGUGGGUUUUACAAUAAUGUUUUGCUAUUGUUUUGUGUCAAUAUUUGCUGCUGUGCUGGCUCUGCCUUUUUCCUUCCACCCACCUUUCUCCUCACGCGUGCUGACAGAUAAGUGUGGUUUGACUGAAACCAUUCCAAGGGCUAGAUAUUGCUGUCUACAGCAACAUCACGCGGUGCAGUUUGUCAGGAAGCAGUUGUGGGACUGGUGGGAAGGCAGCAUGCACACACUGGUACAUGUCACCCCACUGUCCCUGCAACUGCCCAGCAAAGCACUGUGCCACGUCUCAUUGUAUGGGAGUUGCAUGGCUAGAGGCUUGGGGUUGGGAUGUGGAUUCACAGUUUCCAAGCUCUUCUGCCUUUCUGCAGGGUUAGGCAAGACAAACUCUCCUUGUACCUCAAGCGUACAGGGAUGGCUUGCAAAGUUUCUUUAGGCAAAGGGCAGAAUUCUUGGCACCCAGGCCUCUAGAAACACAAGUGGGCAUAGGCCAGUGCCAACUUUGCCCUCUAGAAACACAAGUGGGGAAAGGUCACUGCCAACUUUGCCAGCAGAUGUAUUUAUCCCUGCGUGUGUGAAGUGCUAUGGGGCAGGGAUGAAGCCACUAUUGUAUGUUGGGAAGCACCAGGGGUAGAUUGCAGCGAGCUCCUUCUCAGAAGUCAUUUCUUUUAUCCUCCCAGUAUCAAUGUGUUUGCCAUCACCAUUCUCAACCGCCAGGCUCCUGCUCCCAUUUAGAGGCUGUGCAACAUUUCAAAUUACUAUUUUUUUGAAGGUGGUCUGUGUGGCUUCACACACCAAGGACAUGGCGAGGCCCAGCAUGGCACGCAGUAGGAAAGCCUCGCACACAGCCACACUUGAUCUGCAAGGAGGAGGAAGGAGCUGGUCAGGAGGUCUGUCGGGGGAGGCAUCUGCAGAGUGAAUGGGGAAAAAAAAAGCAGCAGGAGCAGGGGGGGAUGUCAGCUGCCAGCACCAUCUCCUUUGAAGAUCCCCACAACCGGAGGGAGGAUCAGGUUGCCAGCAGACUCUCCCUUCCUAAAACAUCCUGCCCCUAAAUAAGGAGAGCGGAGCACAGAUUGCCAGGGGCCUGUUUGAUUCGCCCCCUCACCCUGCGAGUCUGCUGUUUGGCCACCACCACCACGGAGAGCCCUGCCACAGAGCCAUCAUCCCCAGCACGGCUCUGUUGCAACAGGACUGAGGGGCGCAUGCCCUGUCCAGCUUCCCAACCCCUUGCGUUUGCCAGCUGCAUUUGGGCUGCAAGCCAUUUUUUGUGGCACCUGUUAUUUUUAUUUGCUUUCAGACUCCUUUGUUUCUAACACACUGUCACCUCUGGGUAACUAAUAGUUUUCACCUGUGUUUGUUCCUUUGUAGCUGCGUUAUGCUGUAGAAAUCGCAGGGUCUUCUCUAUGCAGGUGAAAAUGGGUGAGAAGGAGUACAACUGUUGGAUUUGUGGCAGGAAUUUUCAAACGAAUGAAAGCGUAAGGAUGAAAACAGAAGAAAAGUGUUCAGCAUGGACACAGUUAAAUGUGAAGCAAUUUUGUACAAUUCUUGUGAAAGAUGAAAUACGACACACCGAUGUUGUUGGUUACAAAAGUACUGCAGUGUAAGAAAGUGACUGCCGCGCAGGGAAGAGUUCUCCACUCAUUUAUAUCUACAGGGAAAAUUAAUUAAAGUUGCCCCUGUGAAGCUGAACGCAGUUUGCUGCUCUGCCUGGAUAUAUUUUUAAACACAAAUAAUCCGUGUUUCAGCUCCAUUUUAGAAGGCAGAGAAGUUCCUGGCAUCAAAGUUUCUUCUUCAGAUUGAUUCACUGGAUUGGAUUGCCUUUCCUCAUGUAAUCAGACUGAUACACAUCCUGAGUUCCUACGCAAAGGCAUUAUAUGAAGAUGGA